rnacentral:rRNA from 1 species
GACGAACGCUGGCGGCGUGCCUAAUACAUGCAAGUCGAGCGGACCACUUCGGUGGUCAGCGGCGGACGGGUGAGUAACACGUGGGCAACCUGCCUGUAAGACUGGGAUAACACCGGGAAACCGGUGCUAAUACCGGAUAAUCCUUCUCUUCUCAUGAAGAGAAGCUGAAAGACGGUUUCGGCUGUCACUUACAGAUGGGCCCGCGGCGCAUUAGCUAGUUGGUGAGGUAACGGCUCACCAAGGCAACGAUGCGUAGCCGACCUGAGAGGGUGAUCGGCCACCCUGGGACUGAGACACGGCCCAGACUCCUACGGGAGGCAGCAGUAGGGAAUCUUCCGCAAUGGACGAAAGUCUGACGGAGCAACGCCGCGUGAGCGAUGAAGGCCUUCGGGUCGUAAAGCUCUGUUGUCAGGGAAGAACAAGUACCGGAGUAACUGCCGGUACCUUGACGGUACCUGACCAGAAAGCCACGGCUAACUACGUGCCAGCAGCCGCCGCGG